rnacentral:lncRNA from 1 species
UGAAUUGUAUGAUGUUCAUGAUAAACCUUAUUCAAGUUGCAUGAUAUUGAUGUAUUCAUGAUAAUUAAGUAUAGAAUUUGUGGUAUAACCAAAGCAUGCUCCCCAUAUGUUUGAUAGAAUGCUUAAGUAAAGAGAAUAGUGCCCUCUUUAGUAUGUUAAGCAUGAAAUUCCCAAUUAUGUGAUAACUAGUGCAUGCCAAGCGUUUGUUGAAAUUCCUUAGUGAAUGUAUUAUGAUAAGUUACAUGCAUUCUUAUCAAUGUGUAUUCCUUAUUGAACAACUAUGAGGUAUUAGUAUGCAUUCUCUAUACAUUUACAUGUUU